CUGGGCGAAGCGGUACUGCAGGGACGAGGUGUGUGUGUGUGUGUGUGUGUGUGUGUGCUCAGGUGUCGAGGCUGAUCUGGGCGAAGCGGUACUGCAGGGACGAGGGGUUGCGCAGGAGCACGAGUCCGCGCUGGUCCUGUGGCUGC